GGUUAAGCGACUAAGCGUACACGGUGGAUGCCCUGGCAGUCAGAGGCGAUGAAGGACGUGCUAAUCUGCGAUAAGCGUCGGUAAGGUGAUAUGAACCGUUAUAACCGGCGAUUUCCGAAUGGGGAAACCCAGUGUGAUUCGUCACACUAUCAUUACGUGAAUACAUAGCGUAAUGAAGCGAACCGGGGGAACUGAAACAUCUAAGUACCCCGAGGAAAAGAAAUCAACCGAGAUUCCCCCAGUAGCGGCGAGCGAACGGGGAGCAGCCCAGAGUCUGAAUCAGCAUGUGUGGUAGUGGAACGGUCUGGAAAGUCCGGCGAUACAGGGUGACAGCCCCGUACACAAAAGUGCAUGUGUUGUGAACUCGAAGAGUAGGGCGGGACACGUGGUAUCCUGUCUGAAUAUGGGGGGACCAUCCUCCAAGGCUAAAUACUCCUGACUGACCGAUAGUGAACCAGUACCGUGAGGGAAAGGCGAAAAGAACCCCGGCGAGGGGAGUGAAAAAGAACCUGAAACCGUGUACGUACAAGCAGUGGGAGCCUCUUUAUGGGGUGACUGCGUACCUUUUGUAUAAUGGGUCAGCGACUUAUAUUCUGUAGCAAGGUUAACCGAAUAGGGGAGCCGAAGGGAAACCGAGUCUUAACUGGGCGUUAAGUUGCAGGGUAUAGACCCGAAACCCGGUGAUCUAGCCAUGGGCAGGUUGAAGGUUGGGUAACACUAACUGGAGGACCGAACCGACUAAUGUUGAAAAAUUAGCGGAUGACUUGUGGCUGGGGGUGAAAGGCCAAUCAAACCGGGAGAUAGCUGGUUCUCCCCGAAAGCUAUUUAGGUAGCGCCUCGUGAAUUCAUCUUCGGGGGUAGAGCACUGUUUCGGCUAGGGGGUCAUCCCGACUUACCAACCCGAUGCAAACUGCGAAUACCGAAGAAUGUUAUCACGGGAGACACACGGCGGGUGCUAACGUCCGUCGUGAAGAGGGAAACAACCCAGACCGCCAGCUAAGGUCCCAAAGUCAUGGUUAAGUGGGAAACGAUGUGGGAAGGCACAGACAGCCAGGAUGUUGGCUUAGAAGCAGCCAUCAUUUAAAGAAAGCGUAAUAGCUCACUGGUCGAGUCGGCCUGCGCGGAAGAUGUAACGGGGCUAAACCAUGCACCGAAGCUGCGGCAGCGACACUAUGUGUUGUUGGGUAGGGGAGCGUUCUGUAAGCCGUUGAAGGUGGCCUGUGAGGGUUGCUGGAGGUAUCAGAAGUGCGAAUGCUGACAUAAGUAACGAUAAUGCGGGUGAAAAACCCGCACGCCGGAAGACCAAGGGUUCCUGUCCAACGUUAAUCGGGGCAGGGUGAGUCGACCCCUAAGGCGAGGCCGAAAGGCGUAGUCGAUGGGAAACAGGUUAAUAUUCCUGUACUUGGUGUUACUGCGAAAUGGUGCCGUAACUUCGGGAGAAGGCACGCUGAUAUGUAGGUGAAGUGAUUUACUCAUGGAGCUGAAAUCAGUCGAAGAUACCAGCUGGCUGCAACUGUUUAUUAAAAACACAGCACUGUGCAAACACGAAAGUGGACGUAUACGGUGUGACGCCUGCCCGGUGCCGGAAGGUUAAUUGAUGGGGUUAUCCGUAAGGAGAAGCUCUUGAUCGAAGCCCCGGUAAACGGCGGCCGUAACUAUAACGGUCCUAAGGUAGCGAAAUUCCUUGUCGGGUAAGUUCCGACCUGCACGAAUGGCGUAAUGAUGGCCAGGCUGUCUCCACCCGAGACUCAGUGAAAUUGAACUCGCUGUGAAGAUGCAGUGUACCCGCGGCAAGACGGAAAGACCCCGUGAACCUUUACUAUAGCUUGACACUGAACACUGGUCCUUGAUGUGUAGGAUAGGUGGGAGGCUUUGAAGUGUGGACGCCAGUCUGCAUGGAGCCAACCUUGAAAUACCACCCUUUAAUGGCUGGUGUUCUAACGUAGACCCGUAAUCCGGGUUGCGGACAGUGUCUGGUGGGUAGUUUGACUGGGGCGGUCUCCUCCUAAAGAGUAACGGAGGAGCACGAAGGUUAGCUAAUCCUGGUCGGACAUCAGGAGGUUAGUGCAAAGGCAUAAGCUAGCUUGACUGCGAGAGUGACGGCUCGAGCAGGUGCGAAAGCAGGUCUUAGUGAUCCGGUGGUUCUGAAUGGAAGGGCCAUCGCUCAACGGAUAAAAGGUACUCCGGGGAUAACAGGCUGAUACCGCCCAAGAGUUCAUAUCGACGGCGGUGUUUGGCACCUCGAUGUCGGCUCAUCACAUCCUGGGGCUGAAGUAGGUCCCAAGGGUAUGGCUGUUCGCCAUUUAAAGUGGUACGCGAGCUGGGUUUAGAACGUCGUGAGACAGUUCGGUCCCUAUCUGCCGUGGGCGCUGGAGAAUUGAGGGGGGCUGCUCCUAGUACGAGAGGACCGGAGUGGACGCAUCACUGGUGUUCGGGUUGUCAUGCCAAUGGCAUUGCCCGGUAGCUAAAUGCGGAAGAGAUAAGUGCUGAAAGCAUCUAAGCACGAAACUUGCCCCGAGAUGAGUUCUCCCUGACCCUUUAAGGGUCCUGAAGGAACGUUGAAGACGACGACGUUGAUAGGUCGGGUGUGUAAGCGUAGCGAUACGUUGAGCUAACCGAUACUAAUGAACCGUGAGGCUUAACCUU
rnacentral:rRNA from 1 species